AUUGCUCUAACACUCUCUAGUGAGAAAGAGAAAAAAAACUACUUGAGCCUAGUAUAUAGGUCAUAUUGUUACGACUACGUCGUCUAAAGUUCUAGAUAGAUAACUGAUAAUGACAACUUUCUAUCUAUAUGUCUUGACCAAAUUACGUGCCAGCAGUCGCGGCAAUACGUAGAAGACUAGUGUUAUUCAUCUUUAUUAGGUUUAAAGGGUACCUAGACGGUAAAACUAGCCCCAAUAGGGAACAGUUUUACUAGAGUUUAAUGUAAGAGGUAUAUGUUAGGACUAUUGGUGUAGAGAUGAAAUUCUUUGAUACUAAUGGGAUGGGUGGCGGCGAAAGCAAACCUCUAUGUAUAAACUGACGUUGAGGGACGAAGGCUCGGGGAGCGAAUAGGAUUAGAUACCCUAGUAGUCCGGGCAGACAAUUAUGAAUGUCAUAUGCUAGGUUUUUACACUUGGUGUAUAAAUGAAAGUGCAAGCAUUCCACCUCAAGAGUAAUGUGGCAACGCAGGAACUGAAAUCAUUAGACCGUGUCUGAAACCAGUAGUGAAGUAUGUUAUUUAAUUCGAUGAUCCUCGAAAAACCUUACCACAAUUUGAAUAUUAUUUCUUUAAAUAAUACAAGCGUUGCACGGCUGUCUUCAGUUAAUGUCGUGAGAUUUUGGUUAGAUUCAUUAAUUAACGUAAACCCAUACUUUAUUUGUUAUCUAUAAAGUAGUUCACCGCUAUAUUGGAUUUUGAUAAUAGGGACCAAGACA
rnacentral:rRNA from 1 species